rnacentral:rRNA from 1 species
UGAUGUCGAUUUAGAGGUUGUGGUCUUGAACCGUGGCUUCUGGAGCUAACGCGUUAAAUCGACCGCCUGGGGAGUACGGCCGCAAGGUUAAAACUCAAAUGAAUUGACGGGGGCCCGCACAAGCGGUGGAGCAUGUGGUUUAAUUCGAUGCAACGCGAAGAACCUUACCUACUCUUGACAUCCAGCGAAUCCUUUAGAGAUAGAGGAGUGCCUUCGGGAACGCUGAGACAGGUGCUGCAUGGCUGUCGUCAGCUCGUGUUGUGAAAUGUUGGGUUAAGUCCCGCAACGAGCGCAACCCUUAUCCUUUGUUGCCAGCGCGUGAUGGCGGGAACUCAAAGGAGACUGCCGGUGAUAAACCGGAGGAAGGUGGGGAUGACGUCAAGUCAUCAUGGCCCUUACGAGUAGGGCUACACACGUGCUACAAUGGCAGAUACAAAGAGAAGCGACCUCGCGAGAGCAAGCGGAACUCAUAAAGUCUGUCGUAGUCCGGAUUGGAGUCUGCAACUCGACUCCAUGAAGUCGGAAUCGCUAGUAAUCGUAGAUCAGAAUGCUACGGUGAAUACGUUCCCGGGCCUUGUACACACCGCCCGUCACACCAUGGGAGUGGGUUGCAAAAGAAGUAGGUAGCUUAACCUUCGGGAGGGCGCUUACCACUUUGUGAUUCAUGACUGGGGUGAAGUCGUACAAAGGGGGAACCCGAGACU